CCUACGGGGGGCUGCAGUGAGGAAUAUUGGUCAAUGGACGCAAGUCUGAACCAGCCAUGCCGCGUGCAGGAAGACGGCUCUAUGAGUUGUAAACUGCUUUUGUACGAGAGUAAACGCAGAUACGCGUAUCUGUCUGAAAGUACCGUACGAAUAAGGAUCGGCUAACUCCGUGCCAGCAGCCGCGGUAAUACGGAGGAUUCAAGCGUUAUCCGGAUUUAUUGGGUUUAAAGGGUGCGUAGGCGGGCGGAUAAGUCAGAGGUGAAAUCCCGGGGCUCAACUGCGGAAUUGCAUUUGAUACUGGUCGGCUAGAGGGUAGUUGAGGUAGGCGGAAUGUAUGGUGUAGCGGUGAAAUGCUUAGAGAU
rnacentral:rRNA from 1 species